rnacentral:rRNA from 1 species
GUGAGGAAUAUUGGUCAAUGGGCGGGAGCCUGAACCAGCCAAGUCGCGUGAAGGAAGAAGGAUCUAUGGUUCGUAAACUUCUUUUGCAGGGGAAUAAAGUGCAGGACGUGUCCUGUUUUGUAUGUACCCUGAGAAUAAGGAUCGGCUAACUCCGUGCCAGCAGCCGCGGUAAUACGGAGGAUCCGAGCGUUAUCCGGAUUUAUUGGGUUUAAAGGGUGCGUAGGUGGUUUGAUAAGUCAGCGGUGAAAGUUUGCAGCGUAACUGUAAAAAUGCCGUUGAAACUGUCGGACUUGAGUGUAAAUGAGGUAGGCGGAAUGCGUGGUGUAGCGGUGAAAUGCAUAGAUAUCACGCAGAACUCCGAUUGCGAAGGCAGCUUACUAAGCUACAACUGACACUGAAGCACGAAAGCGUGGGGAUCAAACGGGAUUAGAAACCCUGGUAGUCC